rnacentral:ncRNA from 1 species
CCUUAUCAAGAGCGGCGGAGGGAACAGGCCCUGUGAUGCCCGGCAACCUGCAUACAUAUGGCAAGGUGCUAAAUCCUGCGGGGAACCGAAAGAUGAGG